AUUGAACGCUGGCGGCAGGCCUAACACAUGCAAGUCGAGCGGAGCGGCGGACGGGGGAGUAAUGCCGAGGAAUCUGCCUGGUAGUGGGGGAUAACGCUCGGAAACGGGCGCUAAUACCGCAUACUAUUAGAUGAGGCUAGGGCGGAUUAGCUAGGUGGUGGGGUAAAGGCCUAACAAGGCGACGAUCCGUAACUGGUCUGAGAGGAUGAUCAGUCACACGGGAACUGAGACACGGUCCAGACUCCUACGGGAGGCAGCAGUGGGGAAUAUUGCACAAUGGGGGAAAGCCUGAUCCAGCCAUGCCGCGUGUAUGAAGAAGGUCUUCGGAUUGUAAAGCACUUUAAGUUGGGAGGCGUUACCAACAGAAUAAGCACCGGCUAACUUCGUGCCAGCAGCCGCGGUAAUUC
rnacentral:rRNA from 1 species